GCUGCCGUGGCGCAACUGGUUAGCGCGUGCGGCUGUUAUCAGAGUCUCUGGAAAGACACCGCAAGGUUGGUGGUUCGAGUCCACCCGGUAGCG